rnacentral:rRNA from 1 species
GACGUAGGGCGCGAGCGUUGUCCGGAUUUAUUGGGCGUAAAGAGCUCGUAGGCGGUCUGUCGCGUCGGAUGUGAAAGCCCGGGGCUUAACCCCGGGUCUGCAUUCGAUACGGGCAGACUAGAGUUCGGCAGGGGAGACUGGAAUUCCUGGUGUAGCGGUGAAAUGCGCAGAUAUCAGGAGGAACACCGGUGGCGAAGGCGGGUCUCUGGGCCGAUACUGACGCUGAGGAGCGAAAGCGUGGGGAGCGAACAGG